GGGGGUGUUACGGUUUCGACGGGGGUACUGAACGCGAAGGUUGCGUGCCGCGGAUCCUCGACCACCGCGUCAAAACGAUCGAGGAAACACAGCUGCCAACGACAGCAACUACGGCCGUAUGGCCAUCGCCGCCUAAGAAACGGUGACAUCCUCUCCUUAGGUGCUCCCAGUCGGGAAGAGGGUGUUAUUACAGGGAGCUAGCCGACGGGAAUGCCCCGGAUCGUCGGCGAAAUUCAGGGGAUCGGAGCGAGGAGGGCCUGUCGGCGGGCAUGCUUCGCUCUCAAAUCAAAUCCACCGACUACGCACGUAGAUGCCCCGCCUGAUGGCUUCCGGACCCGGGUUCGACUCCCGGCGCCUCCAACC
rnacentral:tmRNA from 1 species